CCACGGACUUAAUUAAAUUGGAUUGAGCUUUGGCAUGGUAACCUACUAAGUGAUAACUUUCAAAUUCAGAGAAAUCCUGGAAUGAAAAAUGGGCAAUCCUGAGUCAAAUCCUAUUAUUUCACGAAAAUAAACAAAGGUUCAGCAGGGGAGACAUCUUUAACAGCUGCCAAUGAAUCUCCAAUAUAUUUGGUAAUUUCCUACUUAUAGUAGUUAAAGAAGCUGAAUAACAAGCAUUUUAAGGUAGAAGAGUGCUGACCUGUGAGGUUAGUGGAGGUCGUGUGG
rnacentral:ribozyme from 1 species